ACGGGGUACGGGAGCCAAAGCAAGAAAGCCAGCCACUUACUUGGGAGAGAAUGACAGCCAUGGCCAACUUCUCACUGUGCGCCGCCACAUAUCCCAACAUCAUGAUCCCGGGCAACCGCAGGCUUCCGCGGCACUCGCCAAGAAUGGUGACGUUAUUUUUCACGCAUUCAUCCGGAUCCCGGAGGCACAUAAUGGCUGCGGGGAAGACGUCGGCCUCGAUCACCAUCUCCGCCAGGCACACCGAGUGUUUGCUGAUCUGGCCGAGAGCAGAGAAUACCUGCCUCUGUGUGGAGAAAAGCACGGUUGUUGCUUCCUGAGAAAGACCGCUCGGAUAACCGGCGAUUUCGGGCUCCAAGAGGCACAACACCAGCAUGGGGACUGCGCCCGCAUCCACAAUGGACUGGGACAAGGCUACGAAAGAGGAAGAAAAAAAAAGUCCACGCGCACAGAUGGGGAAAUGUGAAAGUGAUCCGCAAAGGCCGGCAAGCUGAAUGCAAAGACAGCGCGUCGCUCUCACCGUCAUUAUGGUGCGCGAUGAAACCCAGAGCCAAGGCGGCAGCUUCCUUCACACCGGGGUCGAAGUCCUCCAGGCAGACAACCAGCGCGUCCACGCCUCCGCUGGCCACCACCGCCUGAGCGAGCUCCGGGGAGUGCUUGGACACGGCGCGCAGCACGAACGCCGCCGCUUUCUUAUACAAGCGCUGGAUAAACACACGCUUCUGGCUUGAAAACGGUGACGAAGACAACGCCGAGCCGCAAGAAGUCCCGAGGUUCUUUGCGUCACCGCAUUCCGCAUUUUGUGACAAAGAGAGAGGCCGACGCGCGUCAACCGAACGACUGCGUUCUUCGUCGAGCGUGAAUCCACCAAGGUGUGCGCAUUGGUUGCUUUCCGAGCUUAGCGCAAAAGCCUGCACGCGAAGCCAACCUCGCCGAGCUCGCGAAACUCACCGACGACUUCUCCCGAGGAUCUUUUGACAACCAGUUGACUUGGAGGUGAGUCUGCACAGCUUUACAAGAGCGCCCUGUCGACCUGCAGUGCACAAAAGAAUGCCGGCCAAAGAGCAAAUGUCACCCGCGGAACCACGUGAACAUCAACCCACGAGCCAAUCGCAACAGGAACGCUGCAAGACAAGACCACUCGACGUGAAGAGGAAACCGUACCACGCGAAUGUUUUGCUCUUGCUAAAUUUAUGGCUUUAAUUCGAUAGAACCUUGUUUGUUCACGACAAUCAAAACGAAUUCGGUAAUUGUGCUCUAAUACGCGUGCGGAAGGGGGAACUGGUACAUUUAUAAAACGGCACAAGAAAAAAACAUUGAACAUUUCGAUUUAGUCAUCUUGAAUUCAAUAAUUAUGUUGAAUGCUGUAAUUUUCUUGAACGAAGAGAUUGCAAAACGGAAGUGAUCUCAUGAAAUAUGAAUGCUUGCUUUAAGUGAACAAGUUUUAUUCCGCAAAAUACCUAUUGAUUCGUCCUUUUAAUCAAUUGUUUAUUUUCAAUGAAUAUCGAAUGCAUGCAGUUAACUGACAAAAUUAAAACGGUCAUUGUACUCAAAUUCCACCGCAUGUCAGUCGAAAAAAACAAUUAUAAAAUACAUGUUCAAUGCAUGGAAAAGUAUUAAAAAGUCAAGUUUGAUCGUAGAUUGCGUGUAAAAGUUUUUAUUUAGAUGUUUUAUACUGUGUAACAGUAACAAUACAAUAAGUUGUCCAUACAAUCGAGA